CCCUUAGAUGUUCUGGGCUGCACGCGUGCCACAAUGGCGCUUGCAACAAGAUUGCCAACCCGAAAGGGUGAGCGGAUCUUUGAAGUGGCGUCGUGAUCGGGACAGUUGAUUGCAAUUAUUCGACUCGAACGAGGAAUUCCUUGUAAUCGCGAUUCAUCAUAUCGCGCUGAAUACGUCCCUGCCCUUUGUACACACCGCCCGUCGCUCCUACCGAUUGAGCGAUCCGGUGAAUGUUUUGGACUGGUGUCCGCAAGCGUUUCGCUUCGGACGCUACGAAAUUUUGUAAACCUUAUCGCUUAGAGGAAGGAAAAGUCGUAACA
rnacentral:rRNA from 1 species